rnacentral:misc_RNA from 1 species
GGUUUAAUAACCCAAGUUUGAG